GAUGAACGCUAGCUACAGGCUUAACACAUGCAAGUCGAGGGGCAGCGCAGUGUAGCAAUACAUGGGCGGCGACCGGCGCACGGGUGCGUAACGCGUAUCCAACCUUCCCGUUACUCAGGGAUAGCCUUCCGAAAGGGAGAUUAAUACCUGAUGGUGUUGAAAUUCCGCAUGUUAUUUCAACUAAAGAUUUAUCGGUAACGGAUGGGGAUGCGUGACAUUAGAUAGUAGGCGGGGUAACGGCCCACCUAGUCUACGAUGUCUAGGGGUUCUGAGAGGAAGGUCCCCCCACACUGGAACUGAGACACGGCCCAGACUCCUACGGGAGGCAGCAGUGAGGAAUAUUGGUCAAUGGUCUGACGACUGAACCAGCCAUGCCGCGUGAAGGUCACGGCCCUAUGGGUCUUAAACUUCUUUUGUAAGGGAGCAAUAAGGUGCACGUGUGCAUCGAUGAGAGUACCUUACGAAUAAGCAUCGGCUAACUCCGUGCCAGCAGCCG
rnacentral:rRNA from 1 species